rnacentral:rRNA from 3 species
UUUAUUGGAGAGUUUGAUCCUGGCUCAGGAUGAACGCUGGCGGCGUGCCUAAUACAUGCAAGUCGAGCGAAUGGAUUGAGAGCUUGCUCUCAAGAAGUUAGCGGCGGACGGGUGAGUAACACGUGGGUAACCUGCCCAUAAGACUGGGAUAACUCCGGGAAACCGGGGCUAAUACCGGAUAACAUUUUGAACUGCAUGGUUCGAAAUUGAAAGGCGGCUUCGGCUGUCACUUAUGGAUGGACCC